rnacentral:pre_miRNA from 7 species
GAAAAUGGGCUCAAGGUGAGGGGUGCUAUCUGUGAUUGAGGGACAUGGUCAAUGGAAUUGUCUCACACAGAAAUCGCACCCGUCACCUUGGCCUGCUGA